rnacentral:sRNA from 1 species
UCGUAGGUACCGCGAUGCGC